rnacentral:rRNA from 1 species
UAGGGAAUCUUCCACAAUGGACGAAAGUCUGAUGGAGCAACGCCGCGUGAGUGAAGAAGGGUUUCGGCUCGUAAAACUCUGUUGUUAAAGAAGAACAUAUCUGAGAGUAACUGUUCGGGUAUUGACGGUAUUUAACCAGAAAGCCACGGCUAACUACGUGCCAU